AGAGUUUGAUCCUGGCUCAGAACGAACGCUGGCGGCAGGCUUAACACAUGCAAGUCGAGCGCCCCGCAAGGGGAGCGGCAGACGGGUGAGUAACGCGUGGGAAUCUACCCAUCUCUACGGAAUAACUCAGGGAAACUUGUGCUAAUACCGUAUACGCCCUUCGGGGGAAAGAUUUAUCGGAGAUGGAUGAGCCCGCGUUGGAUUAGCUAGUUGGUGGGGUAGAGGCCUACCAAGGCGACGAUCCAUAGCUGGUCUGAGAGGAUGAUCAGCCACACUGGGACUGAGACACGGCCCAGACUCCUACGGGAGGCAGCAGUGGGGAAUAUUGGACAAUGGGCGCAAGCCUGAUCCAGCCAUGCCGCGUGAGUGAUGAAGGCCCUAGGGUUGUAAAGCUCUUUUGUGCGGGAAGAUAAUG
rnacentral:rRNA from 1 species